UAAAUGUGGAAAAUCUGCAGCCUGAUGA
rnacentral:piRNA from 1 species